rnacentral:tRNA from 1 species
CUCAUGAUGGCCGAGAACUCAAGGCAUUAGGCUUUUAACUUAACCACAGUAUACAACUUCAUGGGC